CCGGCCGCGCAGCGACACAGCGCAUGCGUUGUCGUCACCUGACCUCGGUCUCGUGGUGCACCCCGGAGCCUGAGGGGAAGGAAGCGAGAUGUGCGACGCAGAUUCGAGGACCGCCUUCACUCGAGCCUGAGUCAUGCAAACCAAGACAACCACGGGUUGUCGAAGGAGGCGGGCCCCUCGUCCGGGCCUGGCGGGCGGGGCCCCUGGUGGGCGGGGCCCCUGGUGGGCGGGGCCUUGCUUGGGGUUGGUGAGAAGGGCCGGAUGGACAGGGCCCUAGUGGGACCCUGGUUGGGCGGCCCGUUAGUUCCGGGUUGGUGGGACCCGGCUGGUCAGGCCCGGCACACAGUGAUGCCCGGGACUUCUGACACCGAGAUGACCAGAGCCCGCUCGGGGCCCGCAGCGGGAGCAGAGGCCGUGAAAUCCAGUCUGACGCUGCGAGGUCUCCUGAAAAGCAAGCAAGCAAGCAAGAAGCCAGUCCAGGACUGGGGGAGCCCUGGAGCUGGCCUCGCCUCCUCCAGACAACACUGUGGAUAUUGAUGUCCAGUGGUGGUAGUGACCCUGACUGGGUCCUGAAGCAGCGUCCAUCACGCAGCCUGUACGCAGGACGGGCACGGCGUCCUGGCCUCGGCACUGCCUGAGCUCAGUGCCUGGCAGAGAAGCAGUGAAGCGGCCAAGCGGUGUUCCUGCAGUCCACGUGUGGGAGCACACAUUUCCCCACAGUGCCAGGUGCUAGCAGCAGUCUGGAGCUCCUGGGAUGACACCUCCCUGGGUAGCCAGGGUUGAACUUGUUGGAGUCGAGAGCCAGAGGCUGAAUUCAGCUGAGUCUAGUGGGAGGCACCAUGGCAGGGGCCACCUCUCCACCUGAGAUCAAACCACCAGGACCCAGAGCCCCCACAGGUCCUUGGUUCUGUGCUGUAGAAGGGACAAGGGAUUCCCAGGUCCUGCAGCACCUGCUGGCCCUGGCCUGGACACACUUCCCCUCCCAGCCUGUGACUGUCUUGGGGUCUGGCCAUGCCUGAUGAGUGAGGGUCAAUCCUGUGCCAUCCUCCUCCACACAAGAGUCUGUGCCAUGCCCCACCUCACCCUGAGUCAACAGCAGGGCCCAGCUUCUUUCCUGGGUCCUCCAGGCUCAUGUGCCCACUGUUCAUUGCCUUGCAAUGUCCAGUGGGGGUCCAGCAUCCCACUUUCCUUCUCAGGCCCUAUGCAGUGCUCCCCCUUCCCUCCCCCACCACUCUCCUCGGUAUAUCAGGUUAUUUAGCUGCUGUAGGAAAUUACCCCAAACAUGGUAACUUUAAAACAUAUGCUGCCACACUGCUCCAGUCUCACUCCCGUGUUCAUACAGCCUCCCCUGUGUCCAGACCUACCUCUCUGCCUCUCAAAAGGGCCCCAGCCCUCAGUUUUGGGCCACCUUAAUUCAGGAUGGCUUUAUAUUGAAGUUUCUUGCCUUGAUUACAUUUAUAAACUCUUUCUCCAAGUGCCAGGUGGAGACACGAACAGAUUAUGGUACUGGGAAUGAACUCAGGGACGCUCUGCUACAUCCCCAGCCCUUUCUUAUUUUGAGACAGGGUCUCACUAAGUUGCCCAGACUGGCCUCAAAUUUGCAAUCCUCCUGCCUCAGCCUCCUGAGUCACCAGAAAUUGACACUGUGCCUUCCUGGAUACAUCUUUUGAGGGUCACCAACCUCAAAAGGAUGGAUGUGGAAGUGGGUCCAGCCUUGCCCAGGAAACUGGGUGGUGAAUGCUGGAGCCAGAGAUUUUACCAGGAAGAGCUGCUGGUCACCUCUUCACUGGCAUAAGCUCAUACUGAAGUCAGGGUUGGUCGGAGUGUGACUUCUAACCUGG